rnacentral:rRNA from 1 species
UACGAAGGGGGCAAGCGUUGUUCGGAAUUACUGGGCGUAAAGGGCGCGUAGGCGGCCUGCUAAGUCGAACGUGAAAUCCCCGAGCUCAACUCGGGAACUGCGUCCGAUACUGGUUGGCUUGAAUCCGGGAGAGGGACGUGGAAUUCCAGGUGUAGCGGUGAAAUGCGUAGAUAUCUGGAGGAACACCGGUGGCGAAGGCGACGUCCUGGACCGGCAUUGACGCUGAGGCGCGGAAAGCCAGGG